GGGGAUGUAAAGGUUUCGACGGGGAGAGGGAAGUGCGAGCAGCGGGUCGUGUUCGGGGGACACACGAAAAACUCCUCCAAAACAAUAGCUGAUAACAACAAAUUAGCUGUCGCUGCCUAAUUAUAGGCGGCUGUUCUGCCCACUCAAGUGCCGUGUGGGGCCAGAGCAUCAUGUAGGCACUGAACGUGCGCAGCCCUAAGCUUUGCAGGCGGCCAUGAAUUCAUGAAGCUACCAACGCACCGGCCUGUUUGUUGGCCUGAUGCGAAGGGAAUGUUGUAAACAAACUGCACCCGGAGAUACUCUCAUAGACUUCUUUUCGGACACGGGUUCGAUUCCCGUCAUCUCCACCA
rnacentral:tmRNA from 1 species